GAUUCGNAUGGGGGGACCCUGACGCAGCAACUCCGCGUGAGUGAAGAAGGCCCUCGGGUUNNCAAGCUCUGUCAGAGCUGAAGAAACUACUUCGGGUAAAUAGCCCGUGGUACUGACGGUAAGCUCAAAGGAAGCACCGGCUAACUCCGUGCCAGCAGCCGCGGUAAUACGGAGGGUGCAAGCGUUGUUCGGAUUUAUUGGGCGUAAAGAGCGUGUAGGCGGUUCUGCAAGUCAGGUGUGAAAUCCCGGGGCUUAACCCCGGAACUGCGCCUGAAACUGCAGGACUUGAGUACGGGAGAGGUAGGUGGAAUUCCUGGUGUAGAGGUGAAAUUCGUAGAUAUCAGGAGGAACACCCGUGGCGAAAGCGACCUACUGGACCGAUACUGACGCUGAGACGCGAAAGCGUGGGGAGCAAACAGGAUUAGAUACCCUGGUAGUCCACGCUGUAAACGUUGGGCACUAGGUGUUGCGGGUGUUGACCCCUGCAGUGCCGAAGCAAACGCAUUAAGUGCCCCGCCUGGGGAGUACGGCCGCAAGGCUAAAACUCAAAAAAAUUGACGGA
rnacentral:rRNA from 1 species